rnacentral:rRNA from 1 species
GACGAACGCUGGCGGCGUGCUUAACACAUGCAAGUCGAACGGAAAGGCCCUGCGUUUGUGGGUUGCUCGAUUGGCGAACGGGUGAGAAACACGUGAGUAACCUGCCCUUGACUUUGGGGUAACUUCAGGAAACUGGGGCUAAUACCGGAUAGGAGCUCCUGCUGCGUGGUGUGGGUUGGAAAAUGUCGGCGGUUGGGGAUGGUCUCGCUGCUUAUCAGCUUGUUUGUGAGGUAGUGGCUUACCAAGGCUUUGACGGGUAGCCGGCAUGGGAGGGUGACCGGCCUCCUUGGGCCUGCGAUAGGCACCAGAAGCCUACGUGACGCAGCAGGGGGGAAUCUUGCACAACGGGCGGAAGUCAGAUGUAGCAACGUUGCGUGCGGGAUGACGGCCUUCGGGUUGUAAACAGCUGUCGCCUGUGCCGAAGCGUGAGUGACGGUAAUGGGUAAAGAAGCACCGGCUAACUACGUG